AGUGGAAGCAUGUAUGUCCUGUUAGAGACUCAUGUUUACAUUAUUACUGGGAGCAGAUUGAAUGGUUUAAUCUUCUUAUGUUUUUUACAGUUUUCUUGCAAACCUCAUGGUUUUGCAACAGUCAACGCUGGGACUCCUUUUGAAAAGGACAAGCAGCUUAAAAGGACCUCAAACCUAUCCUACCCUGUUGGGAUUUUGCAAGCCAAAAGUUAUCUAGCUUCUAACCCAACGUCUUUUCCAUGACCAGGGUUCUUCUCUCAUGCUCUUCUCUCCACCUAACCUCUGCUAGGGGCACAAUCCUGUCCUAUGCUGGCAAAACAAAGCUGAGCAUUGAGGCUGAUCGCACUGUGCUGCUACAGAUGCACUGGAUGAACUCUUUCCUGCGUGUUUCAUGUUGCUUCUCUCUGUCAUGAGAGAAUCCGCUGCCCAUGUGGUGACAGCAAGCACAUGUAGACAUUGUUUAAUGAACACACAGCCAGCCCAAUGUACUUGUUAAUCAAGCCAGCGUCCCAAGAGCUGGCAGAAGAACUGAAUGCUCUUGCUGAGUCAGCAUGUGGGCCAUGGUUAUGACUUUCCAUCAAACGCACGCUUUCUGCUGCCAAGUCUGGGCCAACUCUUCAGCAUCACUGAAGCCAGACGAGUAUCUGGAUUAAGGUUCCACAUGGAGGGGAGGGCUCUGCAGAGUUUCUUGCUUGUUUGUUUUGGUUCUCACCAGCGAACCACUAAGCCCCUGCGAUGAUCUUUCCAGUUGGAAAAGGACUCAGCUGAUCCAGUUUGUGCAAGAACCUUUCAACCCAGCAACUGGUGAAGCUUCAGAGAGAAGGAUUUCUCAGCUUCAGGAUUUCUCAGCUCCACAGAAAAAUAGAAGCUCAAAACCAAAGACAAACACAUAUCAGCCUUGGAGAGCACGCGGGGCAUUACCCCAGGCAUCCUGGCAAAACUUCCAACUUCCUUGCCGCUGUCUUGAUGAAAGGGGACAUGUCAGCCCUCGAAAAUGUGUGUUAGGCAAGAAAGAGGAGACUUCUGGGAAAGCACUUCUUUUCUGCAAAAUUAGUUUUGCUGAGUUUACAAGGUGUCGAAGGCUAUUAAUACCGCACGCUUUGGUACCAUGAGAUUGUAAACAAAGUUUCAAUAUGCCUUUCUACAGAACCAUUUAUCAGCCUCCAUCUUUUUCCCUCUGGCUUUUUUCCACCCUUUGCUUUCUUUCUUUGCUUUCUUUCUUUCUUUUUUUUUUUUCUUCCCUUCCCUCUCAUUCUUUAGCUUUGUCUCCUGGAUUUAUUCCCAUUCUCUAGGUUGUCUUAUUAAUUUUCCUCUUUUUCAAAGAAAAAAACAGGCUUGUGGCCUGGAGACUUUACAACAUUCUCUCAUAGUCCUGGAUUUAAAACGCCUAGCCGGGGGUCUAUAAUGUACUGACAUGGAAAGACUAGACUUAUUAUUAAACUAAUAAUCUUGGAAUUUUUAUGAACUACAGAGCUCUGCAAUCAUUUCUAACCACAUGGCACGGGUUGCUGAGGUAUUAGCAGCCAUUGGUGAAAAGCUACUGUGGCUGGACACGCCAACUUUGUCAACACCUGGGAGCAGGGCUGCAGAGAUGAACGAGCCGAGGAGGUGGUGGAGAGAAAUGGGAUGCUCUCAGAAGCCCCAGGUGAGACUUGCCCGCUUUCACCCCAAAGGUUUGUAUCCAGUACAUUAGUCAAGCUAGAGCCCCCAAAAUAUAACAUGGGGUAUGGGAAAAUAUGUUGAAUUAAAUGGGAAUGCUAGGAGUUGGGAGUGUAGUCGUGUAAUUGCCUUAAUCUCUAUUUUUACCACCACUAGAUACCAAGUCAGGCGGAUCCUUGACCCAGCCCAACACAAAUACGUGUGUUCUUUUACAACUGAGCAGGUUAAGAUGGGACAGUUUCUAUACCUCCCAUUUUAACAUCUUUUCUCACGAUGAAGACUAAAAGCUAGAAUUUUCAGAUCUUUUGGAGCAUUUGUCUGGAAGGCCUUACAAAGAUUGCUCUUUUAAGGGUGUUUUGUUAUGUUGGGUUGGGUUAAGGAUCCAUCUAACUCACUAUCUAGCAGUACCUGCAGUAUUUUCAACUACAACAUGUGAAGAUGCUUUGUUGCUUAUGAAUAUAUUUACCAGACACUUUAAAUUUCAUAGAACUGUAGAUUUUUAAAUUUGAUAAAAAAUUUUUACAAGCAAACAUACCAAAAAUUUAAAAUUUGAUACAAUUAGAUUUGGUACAAAGUGUAUUCCACCAGCAUUCAGAAUCACUGCACUGCUCACUUUGCCACCCAGUAAAAUGAAAAAUCCCCUGGCUUGAUGCUGCUCAUUACAUUUCCAGAGCAUAAUUUCAAAUGGUGUGUGAAACAUCUCACUUCUGGCUCUGGACACCUGGGCAGCUGUGUUGUUCGGUGCUAGGCAGCCCCAUGUUUCAUUCAGGAGAUGGAGGUACCUUUGUGGCCAUCUGCUCAUGGUUUCACAAAUUGUUAAUGCUUUUCAGGAUGCAAAUUGCCAGUGGAAAGAAAGAGAGACAAUCAUUUGAGUUGCAGUUUAAGGCAGAGUUGAUCUUAUUAUAGGGGAUUAUAGCAUUGUGUGAGCUGCCGUGAUAUGAGAAGGGUUUUUUUUUUCCACUGCAAGGCAUUUGUGAGACCUCCACUCCUUGCAUUUUCUGCUUGCCUGUCAAUCUGCUCAUCUUUCCGUUUCAUUUAAUUAGAAACACUGGUUUUAAUGAUGCCUCUUCUCGGAGAUUGAACACACCAGGCCACAGUCUCUGUGUGCCUCAGGUGGUAGAAAUACAUUGGCUGCACUGAAGUCACCUGGGGGAAAACAAAGAAGGGGAAAAGCUCACUAUCUCCUUGUGAUGGAUUGCUAACCCAUCCCUGGGAUAUUCCAGAGAGAACAGACGUGCAGCCCAUGCUGAGGAUGAAUUACUGGAUCCUAUUAUAACGGGAAGAAUUAAAAAAAAAAAGGAGAACUCCUCCGGAUAAUCAGCACCAGCUGCCACUUGCGGGGUACCCCAUCCUCCAGGCAAGCCGCAGCUGUGAUUCAUGCCACGUCCUACGUUGUUGCCUGCCCUUAACAUCUAAACAAUAUGACAUGUUCUGCCUCAGUACAUACAUAUUUCGUCCUUACGCGUGAGUUUCCGGCUGCUCAGCAAAGCAGGCGGCCGGGGAGGAUGCAGGCUUUUUUUCUUUCCUUUGUACUGUAACUCAUCCACGAGGAGGAUGGGGAACGAGGGUGUCAGGGGGGAAGCUUCCAGCGAGUCUCCGGAU